GACUCCUGAGUCACCGUCGGCCUUGCGCGAGGGAUGGCAGCGCCUGCGGCCAGUCGCCGGGCUCUUCGUAUCGGGGGUCCCCGCGGAGUUAAGUCCGCUUCCUGCCGGGAACCCGACUCUGUGCCAGAGCCCAUGAAUCAGCCUCGGGCCCCUCCGUCCUGUGGGUCCAGGGCCCCGGGCCCCGGUACCUUUCGGGGUGCAGCCGAGCGGUCGGCGUCGCCUCAGCUUCAAGGUCAUCCCGGGAGGCCACCUUCUCCCCAGCCCUGGUGGACGCAGCCUUGAGCUUAACUCCGCGCCUUCUGCUCAGUCGCAUUUUGUGAGUAACCGUUACCUGCAAGUCUUAGCUGACCCUUCUCUGUAGUAAACCCUGAUUUCGCUUGUUCUCAGCCCAAACUAAUUAAGGGCCCUCUGUGAUUUUGUUCCGAGGCGGCUGGAAAGUAGGGCGGGUGGUUUCGCGCCCCGCCUAGGCCUUGGCUGGAGCCCUUUGUAUUCCCAGUAAAGCUUUGUGUGUGGCCUAGACCGAUUCAGGAGUGGGCGCUCAUUUAUCCUUAGGGAAAGUUCUAUAAAAGGGGGAGGGAUUAGCUCUUAGAUAUUAAGACAAUCUUAACUGGACUCUAACUGGUUUUUAAAUUUAACACAGCAGUUUACCUCCUUGCAAUGAAUUGUGGUCUUGACACAGUGGAUCAUCGUUGGCGUUUGUUCCUGGAUGUUCAUUUGUAAAUACGUUCUAGAGACGUGGCAUUGAAGUUGCAGAACAGUAUGUCCGGUCUAGAAGGCGCUUAGGCUGUAAAUGCCUGCUAUAUAUACCUUUAGAUGCUUGGGUUUACAUAGAGAUGUGUAUUUCUGGACAUAAUACGGAAAAAAUUGGUCAACACCUGGGAGACUGAAAGAACUUUUGCUUAUUAAAAAGCAAGUUACAAUGAAUACCUUAAUACCUUGUCGAUGAGAUUUGCUAUAGUCCUGUGGGGUUUUUUUUUCUCCCCAGAAUUUGAAGUACACGUUGUUUGAUCUAAAACAAUAUAGCAGUUAACUGUCAGUAGGGCAAAUGUGAUAGCUUAAAGUAGUAUCUAUUUGAUAUUAGAGUCAGUCAUCCUUUUUGAGGCCUAAGUGGCUUGAAUCAUGUUUUCAUUGCUAAGUGUUGGAAUUUUUAAAAAUUUUACAAAAUGUUUGAUUAAAAAUGUGAUAAUGUAUAUCAGUCCUUAGGUAUGAUAAAUUGAUAAAUACACGGGAGCCCAAAGAUGCAUUUAAGAACUAGAAUAUUAGGAGUUCCCAUUGUGGCUCAGUGGUUAACGAACCUGACUGGUAUCCAUGAGGACGCAGGUUCGAACCCUGGCCUUGCUCAGUGGGUUAAGGAUUCAGCGUUGCCAUGAGCUGUGGUGUAGGUUGCAGACUCGGCUCAGAUCUUUCAUUGCUGUGGCUGUGGUGUAGGCCAGCAACUACAUCUCUGAUUUGACCCCUGGCCUGGGAACCUCCAGCCUUGGUUGCUGCUCUAAAAAGACAAAAGACCAAAAAAAAAAAAAAAAAAAAAAAAAAAAAAAAAAAAGCUGGAAUAUUAGCAUCUAUUUGCUUCCCUUCCAUCCUGAGGUACCCAUCAUCUGGGAUUUUGUGCCCAGACUCAUUUUUUAGAGGGGUGUAGGAUGGAUAGCAGUUUUAUUAUACAUACAUGUCCCUAAACUUUCUUUUUGUUUGUUUUAGGCUUUACACAAAUGGGACUUGCAGGUACAACAGAACUCCUAAGUUGAAGAUGAAUGAAGGUCAUCUUCAGAUAAAUGUUUUCUAAAAUUUGCCAUAGAGGAUGGCUAUGAAAAAAACCACUAGGAGGACAACUGCAUGUUACAAGGUACCUGCAGGUGAAUGUUCAAGUCCUUAGCAUUAGUGUAGAAAUACUUCAUUGCCUCAAAGAUGUGGCAUACAGCAUUUCGGAAGGAAAAAUGAACUGGUCAAGAAGACAUGAAGCAAAUGAUGAAAAAUUAAUAAUUUUAUUUAACAUUGAUCAUCUCACAAUAAAUUCUGUAGAAAAAUACAAAUUCAAAUUAUUAAUUGCGGGACAAUAAAGUCUGUUAUCUUUAAAGUA
rnacentral:lncRNA from 1 species